rnacentral:rRNA from 1 species
UUGUACACACCGCCCGUCGCUACUACCGAUUGAAUGGCUUAGUGAGGUCUCCGGAUUGGCCUAGGGAGAGUGGCAACACUCACCCAGGGCCGGAAAGUUGUCCAAACUUGGUCAUUUAGAGG